UGCUGAACAGUCUGUGGACGAGCCUAAUGCUCCUUCACCUAGUGCACCAUGUUAGUUUUUAUUAACAAGUGAAAAAAGUAAACGAAAUGGCAAAACUAUCAGCUGAUUGCCAUUCCGUGGUAUUGAUGUAUGCUGUGUUUAAAUAAAAGAAAUUCUCUAUUCCACUUCCUGGGAAACCCCUGAAACCUUGACGACUCCCAGUCUUUGAGAUUUGUUAUUGCAAUCGUUUCCGUUUUCCUUUAAUUUUUGAAGAGGCCAACUCCCCUAAAAUGUAGUAAAACAAUGCAUUUGAUGAAUCGUUGCUCAGAUACGACUAUCAUACCCGCCUUUAUUUUAUAUAUGUAUUUUCUUCUAUUGUCAUCUUUCCAUAUUUUGGCGCCAUUUUUGCUGCCCUUUGUGCUCAACAAACGUGCGACUGAAUGUUAUUUGUUUACCAUGGGCCAUAGUGAUUGUUUUCAUGACAAAUUAAUGUAAUUUUUAAAUAUACUUGUAAAUUUUC